AUCCGUGCAGGCGUAAAUCCUCCUGACUUCGGGCUCCCUAUAUUGCCAUUACCAUUGCCAUGUUCAUGUCCACGUCUUUUACGUCCAUGUCCAUGUCCCAUGUCGAUGGGAUGUGUAAAUGGUAGCUACGCUCUUCGUCCACCCUUCCCUUCUCUUCCCUUACCCAACGAGACACUCGCGGCUCGCGCUCCUACUUUGCUCCAGCUUAACCGUCAGAUUACCCGUCAUCAUCGCCAUCAUCUGGUGAGCCACGUCCAACGCAACUUGCGAGUAAAUUCCCUUCUGCAUAGCGAGCGAUGUAUUGCCCACAGUUUCUGGGCCACCGCUGCACCAACAACGAGCCCAUCAGCCAGCUAUAACCGACCAUCGCCGGUAUUGGAAAUUGGUCCUUUAAUACACCGUCUCUCCGCGUUGCUCUAUCAUCAUGAUAAAUUCAAUUAGAUCAGAUGGAAUUUUUAUGAUUUAGUCAUUUAUUUGUAAUAUUAUAGUAGCAGUAUCGAUCCAGAAUUGAAAGUUGGUGUGGAAAGCAACGAUGAUGAUACAUCGCCGGACCACCUGCACUACGUAUAUACGAUCGUCCUAGAAUCGAUCCUUUAUUUUUUUGUUUUUUUUUGUUUUUUUUUUAUUCAAAGCAGAAAUCAUGUAAAUCAGUGCAGACUUUCGAUCGAUCUACGAACGGAUACUUGUGAAUUAAGAUGCGCCGAUGAAUUGUGCUCCAUUUCUAACGCUCUCCGUAGCGUAGCGAGAUGACCUAUUCAAUUCGAACGUGGUGCGACGAACGAUCGAAAAUCUGCAUUAAAAAUACAUCAACUCGCCAUUAUCUCGGUAUAACAUUCCGCGCAGGUAUAAUUGUAGAAUUAUUGCGCAGAACAUAUCUAAAACAUUUUACUGUAUUCUGGAUGUCUGGAAUACUCAAGAUGUGGAAAAUGAUCAUUUCAUAGAAUAGAAUUAAAGUGUGCGUAGUAUAACCCUGAGAUUUAUUUCGUCUAUUUUAAGUCUCAUUCGACACGCUGUGUAACUGGGUCUUGCGCAAAACAUGUAGAAAUUUCGGGAAACUGUACAACCUCAUCAGCUCGAAAUCUCCAUGAAUUACGAGUUAUCGCGAGGCUAAGAGGAUGCCUCGUUCGAAAUAGCAAUUUAAAGACCGUAUAUCAGAUUGUCUGCCGGCAUUGUGAGCACCUCCCCGUUCACCACCGGAGGGUACGGAACGAAGGAAGGUGAACGAAAAGUAAAAUAGAGUAACAAGAAUGCGAGAAAGAUUAGAAUCUUUUCCUUGGUGAACUGGCCACGAACAAUAAUCCAGCUGUACCACCGACAAGAUCAACUGAUCCUAUUAUACUUGCAACAGUCGCGCUCUACCAGCUGGGACAUCUCCGGGGGAUUUUCCUGGUAGUCGCAGACAAGCGGUCGGGAGUCUCGUGCCGAUUUCGCCAGGUUACUCCUGCAUAUUACAGACUCCGGGCAAAUACAUUUGUAAAGUAAAAACGUCGAGAUUUAUGAACUUGACCUCUGACCAUGACAUUGCACAGCAAUAAUGUAGUAGCUGUACCAACUACAGGCAGUGCCUUGUACCCGUAUACGAUAAAUAGGUCGAGAAAUUUCUCACUGACCUUUUUCAUCGGAGGGCUAAAAACGCUACGGAGUAGGCAAUUUUGUAUUGUGCCGCUGCGGUUCCAUUAUCCUCGAAGUCUUAUUUCAGAGAGAUGGAUACUGCGGUUCGCCGGAUCGGUCUGGAAUCAUUAUACUCCAUGUUAUUCGAUUGUCCCAGUUUUGGCGUUAUAAAUAUCAGGAUGUAUGGUAACGUUCCACGACGAUAACGAUGCACAUACGGGCGUAAGAUUUUGACAGCUUUAAAUAUAAUCCUCGAACUGUAAAUUAUAUCGUGUACACAUAUCAUCUGGUGAUAUGGUCCUGCAAUGCUCGUCUGGUCUGCGGUUUGAGGUGCUCGCGCGUGGAGUGCAAACGAGGACGCGAAAAUGCCGCUCUGGGCCCCGGGCCCGGAAACUGUGACCGAGCUCAGCGAGAAUAUUUGGAGGUUUCGAAGCUCCGGUUACAAACGUGUAUAAAAUCUGAUAUUUUAACUUCGUACUCCCAGUUCGCAGCUGAUGAUUUCUGGAUACGUACGCGUCGAUUGUACGAAAGUUGAUGCGAUGCAAUACGUUAUCAGAAGUGGAACGGAGCAGCGGUGCCGGGAGCUGACGAUCAGUGAAAAGGAAGGAUGCCCACGCUGCCUUGGAUCUUUUUGAUGAAAAGGGCUAUUACCUAGCGACCGGAUCAGCCGCGCUUUCUCGCCUCUCCCGGCCGAGUCAAAGAUUUGCACGCGAAUCGAGUGUGGAGUAGAUAUCAGUACUCUCGGCUCGGGCUCUGAUAGUGCAGUCAUCGGAAUUGUGCAGUCAUCAGACUCUCCGGCAGCAGCUACCAUUUAUUGGCAAGGAAACGAGCUUCCCGGUACCAUUGAUAGACUGCACACGCGAACAGGUCCGCGAUCCUGUCGGCAAUACGAGGAGAGCUUCGACCUCGGCACGAAUAGUUUCAUUAGUGUGUCAACCACGUGCGGCAAAAAGUAGAAGAAUCAAGAUGGAAGGAAUUUCCACGCCUGCAAGUGUUCGAACCCUGCAGGCUGCGGUGCGUGCAGCUUUGGCUGACGGUGCCCGGGUACCGUGUAGUUCAGGUACCCGGGAAAGUAGUCGGUAAUUACUUUGCCGUUUUCGCAUUCAACAUCGUUAUUCUAUUAAUCUCUGCAAGAAAAGAACUUAGGUAUCCCGAAGCGUGUUAAGACCACCCCAGAGAUUGACCACACUCGAAGAUGGCAAUAUAUCGAUGUGUAACGUCGGUGCGUUGGAUAGCUAGAAGAUCGUGAUUGGUCAUUUUAGUUGCGAUCGAUGUAAUUAGCAAAAUUUAAGCCACUGCACCUAUCCAAAAGACUCUGAAAAGAGUUCGAGGCUGAGCUGUCCCAUAUAAACAAGAUUAAGCAGGGCAUAUUCGUUGAUCGUAAAGUAAAUUUUUUAUCUCAACAU